rnacentral:rRNA from 1 species
GAGUUUGAUCCUGGCUCAGAGCGAACGCUGGCGGCAGGCCUAACACAUGCAAGUCGAACGAACCUUCGGGUUAGUGGCGGACGGGUGAGUAACACGUGGGAACGUGCCCUUUGGUACGGAAUAACUCAGGGAAACUUGAGCUAAUACCGUAUGUGCCCUUCGGGGGAAAGAUUUAUCGCCAUUGGAGCGGCCCGCGUUGGAUUAGGUAGUUGGUGAGGUAAAGGCUCACCAAGCCUACGAUCCAUAGCUGGCCUGAGAGGAUGAUCAGCCACAUUGGGACUGAGACACGGCCCAAACUCCUACGGGAGGCAGCAGUGGGGAAUCUUGCGCAAUGGGCGAAAGCCUGACGCAGCCAUGCCGCGUGAAUGAUGAAGUCUUAGGAUUGUAAAAUUCUUUCACCGGGACGAUAAUGACGGUACCCGGAGAAGAAGCCCCGGCUAACUUCGUGCCAGCCGCCGCGGUAA